rnacentral:rRNA from 1 species
ACGCUGGCGGCGUGCCUAAUACAUGCAAGUAGAACGCUGAAGAGAGGAGCUUGCUCUUCUUGGAUGAGUUGCGAACGGGUGAGUAACGCGUAGGUAACCUGCCUUGUAGCGGGGGAUAACUAUUGGAAACGAUAGCUAAUACCGCAUAACAAUGGAUGACUCAUGUCAUUUAUUUGAAAGGGGCAAUUGCUCCACUACAAGAUGGACCUGCGUUGUAUUAGCUAGUAGGUGAGGUAACGGCUCACCUAGGCGACGAUACAUAGCCGACCUGAGAGGGUGAUCGGCCACACUGGGACUGAGACACGGCCCAGACUCCUACGGGAGGCAGCAGUAGGGAAUCUUCGGCAAUGGGGGCAACCCUGACCGAGCAACGCCGCGUGAGUGAAGAAGGUUUUCGGAUCGUAAAGCUCUGUUGUAAGUCAAGAACGAGUGUGAGAGUGGAAAGUUCACACUGUGACGGUAGCUUACCAGAAAGGGACGGCUAACUACGUGCCAGCAGCCGCGGUAAUACGUAGGUCCCGAGCGUUGUCCGGAUUUAUUGGGCGUAAAGCGAGCGCAGGCGGUUUGAUAAGUCUGAAGUUAAAGGCUGUGGCUCAACCAUAGUUCGCUUUGGAAACUGUCAAACUUGAGUGCAGAAGGGGAGAGUGGAAUUCCAUGUGUAGCGGUGAAAUGCGUAGAUAUAUGGAGGAACACCGGUGGCGAAAGCGGCUCUCUGGUCUGUAACUGACGCUGAGGCUCGAAAGCGUGGGGAGCGAACAGGAUUAGAUACCCUGGUAGUCCACGCCGUAAACGAUGAGUGCUAGGUGUUGGAUCCUUUCCGGGAUUCAGUGCCGCAGCUAACGCAUUAAGCACUCCGCCUGGGGAGUACGACCGCAAGGUUGAAACUCAAAGGAAUUGACGGGGGCCCGCA